GCGUGGGGAGCAAAUAGGAUUAGAUACCCUAGUAGUCCACGCCGUAAACGAUGAGAACCUGAUGCAGGAGAUAUUCUGUGUCGAAGCUAACGCGUUAAGUUCUCCGCCUGGGUACUACGUUCGCAAGAAUAAAACUUAAAGGAAUUGACGGGCGCCCGCACAAGCAGUGGAGCAUGGGGUUUAAUUCGUCGAUACACGAAAAACCUUACCAGGGCUUGACAUCCCGCUAAAAGCCUUAGAAAUAAGGAAAUAGUUAUAGCGGUGACAGGUGGUGCAUGGUUGUCGUCAGCUCGUGCCGUGAGGUGUUAGGUUAAGUCCUCAAACGAGCGCAACCCUUGUCUUUAGUUGCCAUUAUUAAUUUAGGAACUCUAGAGAGACUGCCGGCGCAAGCCGGAGGAAGGCGGGGAUGACGUCAAAUCAUCAUGCCCUUUAUGCCCUGGGCCACACCCGUGCUACAAUGGUCGGUACAAAGAGAAGCAACACUGUGAGGUGAAGCAAAUCCCAUAAAGCCGAUCUCAAUUCGGAUUGAAGUCUGCAACUCGACUUCAUGAAGCUGGAAUUGCUAGUAAUCGCAGAUCAGCAACGCUGCGGUGAAUACGUUCUCGGGCGUUGUACACACUGCCCGUCACACCAUGAGAGCCGGUAAUACUCGAAGUCGUUAGCCUAACCGUAAGGAGGGCGGCGCCUAAGGUAGGACUGGUGAUUGGGGUUAAGUCGUAACAAGGUAUCCCUACGAGAACGUGGGGAUG
rnacentral:rRNA from 1 species